ensembl:lncRNA
GCUAGGGAAAAUCUGUGGAGCACUUUCUGCUGUUUUACUCCAGACAAUUACAUUUGGCUUAUUUUUGGAGAGGGCCAAAAAUAUUUUUAUCCUCCCUUCAGUGGAACACAAUUAUACCUUUGAUGGAGCUUGUAAAAAUGCUAAUUUUAGCUAUUAGCAGGUCAGGGGUAAAGGAUGCAGGAGAAAAUGAGAGCGCUGCUGCCUGGACCUAAAGUCUUAGCCACGCAGACAGUGGUGGAUUUACAGUGCAAGCCAAAGGGAGAGGCAAUCUGGCAGUGGUUUUAGGGUCUGGGGGUACAUUAGUUUAGUGCCAUAUACUGGGAGGACAAAAAAACAAGCCGAUUUAGUAUUUUUAGACAAUAUUGCCUAACAAGGACUUUCCUAUUCCUCAAAAUCGUAUGCCACAUAAGGAGAAGAGGGUUUAAAAUCCAUAUUUCAGCUGUCUUAAGGGCCAUGCGGUUUCCGUUAUAUUUAGCAGUGUGGUCAGGGUUUAGGUUUUAAUGCCCCACAUGUUUUCUCUGUGUCUACCUCAUCUUAGUGAUGGGGUCUGUGCUGCGAGGCUUGUGUGUAUGUAUACGCACGUGUACGUAAGUACUUGCACAUCAGUGUGUGUGUGUGUGUUUGCCGACUAUGCGUGUGUGUCAACUGUAAAUGUGUGUGUUUGUGUGGUAGGAGUCUGUUCAUAUAGCAUAUACUCCGUAGUUACUGGAAGCUGGAGCCCCUAAAUUAGAGGGUGUGUUUAGCCAGAAAAUUGCAUCUAGAGGUUAUAUGGUUGUUAACCCCUUUUCUGCACGCACAGCAUUUACAGCAGCCGCUCCUUCGUUUCCUACAUUAAUGCUUUACUGUUCGUCUUACGAAAACACAAGCCACCAGAGUUGGGUACUCCAUAGCCACAUCAGAGGACACUACCCAGCUUCCUCCUCACCUCUAGCCAGCAGCGGCAGCUCUGAGGUGGGGUGGAGGAUGGCUAUGCAGUGCCAGUAGUUCUGGGAGUGCAUGAGAGAUAUAUACUGAGCCUGCAGAACGAGGAGGGAGAAUUCAGGGGCCAGCAGUCACUGGUCUAUUGCUAAAGUUCUUGUCAUUGUAUCACAAUGUGAUAGUGUUCUUCUAGAAUCCUGAAGCUCUGGUUUAUCUCUUCUCCAUCCUGUGUUCUUCAGUGGCUGAUGAUUCAUAUAUAUAUAUAUAUAUAUAUAUAUAUAUAUAUAUACAGUGUUAUAUAUGAAUAGUAGCAUGGUCUUUGGUCACUGAAUGUUCAAAACAAUGACGGUUAUAAUAACAUGAUUCCACAAUAUUGUGAAAAAGAGUUCCAUUCUUCAGUAAUGUCAUUAUUCUCUUAGUUUGACAUCAAUGCUUACGAUGCGAGUCAGCGGUGUAAUUUCUUGAUUUGAUCAAAUCAAUUUUGACUCUUAUUUUUUUCCUAACUGGAAUGAGUGUUGAUAAUGUUUGUUGAGAUGAUAAACUGAAGUGUGUCAUGUUUAGACUGUGUUUGAUGACAGUUAGAACAUGUGUGUGCCCCCCGUCCAUUGUGCUUCCUCUUCCCUGGCCCUCACAUGAUGGGUGCUAUUGACUCGUUGUAAAUAUGCUUGCAGGUCUGUUGGGUAUGUUGGUGUGUGUGUGUGUGUGAUCGAAAACAAGAAAAACAGCAACGGUGAUUGUGUGGAUGGAUUUAUUUCAUAAAUAAUUGAAAAA